rnacentral:misc_RNA from 1 species
UGUUGAGGUGGAAGAGGAGGAAGAACCAAGAGAAGGAGAAGAAGCAAAACCAGAGGAUGAGAAGAAGAAAACAAAGAAAACUAAAACUGAGAAGUAUUGGGAUUGGGAGCUGGCCAAUGAAACAAAGCCAAUAUGGAUGCGAAGUCCAAAGGAAGUUGAAAAGGAUGAGUACCAUGACUUUUACAAGAAAACAUUUAAUGAAUUCUU